rnacentral:rRNA from 1 species
AUUGAACGCUGGCGGCAGGCUUAACACAUGCAAGUCGAACGAGUGGCGGACGGGUGAGUAAUGUCUGGGAAUCUGGCUGAUGGAGGGGGAUAACUACGGGAAACGGUAGCUAAUACCGCAUACCAUAGGAUGAGCCCAGGUGGGAUUAGCUAGUUGGUGGGGUAAAGGCUCACCAAGCCGACGAUCCCUAGCUGGUCUGAGAGGAUGACCAGCCACACUGGGACUGAGACACGGCCCAGACUCCUACGGGAGGCAGCAGUGGGGAAUAUUGCGCAAUGGGGGCAAGCCUGACACAGCCAUGCCGCGUGAAUGAAGAAGGCCUUCGGGUUGUAAAGUUCUUUCGGUAGGGAGGCGUUACCUACAGAAGAAGCACCGGCUAACUCCGUGCCAGCAGCCGCGGUAAUUC